GCCACAAUAGCUCAGUCGGUAGAGCAAAUUGGAGCUUAAUUGCCCUGUAAGCAGUAGGUCGUGGGUUCAAAUCCCACUUGUGGCU
rnacentral:tRNA from 1 species